GUUUUAUACCUUACCGCAAGUGAAUGAUAGAUGAUCUUUGUUUCAAAACUCAUGAAUAUGUCCCUCAUAGUAGGAAGAAUGUAAUAUUACUUAGCAUGUCCCAUUCAACUACAACAUCCAAGAUGGCCAUACAAUGUAAAAUGGCUUUGACAUUAAUUUAAGAGAUGAGAUUUUAACUCUGAAGUGGAGAGCCCCUCCAUGCACCAUCGAAUGGAUCGUGCCGACCCACAGUCCUGCAACUCUUCCUUUCUUACACCGCUCCCAUGGUUAUUAGUUUCCUUUCUUUCACCACUCCCAUGGUUAUUACUUGAGAUAGAAUUUGAAAUGUGCAAUUGAUAUUUCUUUCUUCAGGAAUAUACUGAAUGGAUAUCUUGAGUUGCAGUGAAUAGACAUCGUUUGUCUACAAAAUCAAAGUUUAUGAUUCAUGAAGAAAUCAUGGUCUUUCUUCCUCCUUUUUGAGCUCAGUUGACCCGUAUCCAGCUACUGCAGUCAAAAAAUGUUUUUAGACACAAGCAAGGGGCUUAAGCGGUACUCAUUGGCGACAUUCAGACCAUUUGGGCGUCCAGGGGUUAGUCUGAACGAUGCAG